UCUACACGUCAAUUUUUCGUUUUUUUAAUGUCUUCAGACAUUCCAAGAUUUUUUUGGAGGUGAGUGUCAAAAAUACCUACCACUGUCAUUUGGGCGAAGCAUUUUGCAAACACUUCAUGAUUUUUUUUAGAGAAGGGGCAAACUUGUACGCUUUUCCAGAGAUGUGGGAAAAUUGUUUGCAUUUUCGCAUUCGCUAAAGACUAUGUAAUAUUUCUACUUAUAAUUUUUUCAUCAGUCAGGUGGGAGAAACACCUAAAUUAAAAAUUUAAAGUCAUCGUGAUGGAAAGGACAACUGCAGGACUAGCAGGUCAUAUCGACAAAAAGCAGGACAAGAAGAGGAUUAGCAGGAUAAGUAGGACGGUUAAACCAUCCUAAAUUUGGACUUUGGUGAGUUGGGUAUCAGGAUGCUUUUGCAUCGAAGGCUUCGUCACUAAUGUAUGAGUACAAAAUCGGUGCGUUCCUUCAACCAUGAGUUAAAAAUUUCAUCUACCUUAGUUGUAAUAUAUGUUCUUAAAAAUUGAGGGAACAGAAUUGAAAAAAUGUGAAAAGUUUUGAAUAAAGUUUCAAUUGAAUCCAUACGAAUAACGCAUUUUAAAAUUGUCUCCAUUUUCUUUAAGAUUAUGGUUUGUUUGAUAAACCUUUCAAUAAGUUGAAAAUUUGUCUAUAUGUAGGUAGAAUUGAUUCAACAUUUUCAACUAACCACAUGGCGAUGACGGGCGAACAAAAAAUGUUCACAGCUUUUUUGAAAAAAUUCAAGGUCCCGCGUUCAAAUAAAUUUAACACGUAUUUGAAAAAUGUUUUUGAAAAUUUAUUACCCACCUUUAAGAAAAUGUUUUUGAAAGUUAUGAUCUUAAUUAUCACAUUAGGUACCUGAAAAUAGAUAUAGAAAUACUAUAUAAUACAUUGCUAACAUGUACACUGUUCAGUCAUAGUUUACCAGUCGUGUUUCUGAAUUAGUCGUCAAAUAAUUACCAUCGCCAAAAUGUUCCAAAAUUUCUUUGUACGCACACUUUUCAUUACUCUGCUAACUUUUCAUUUAGUAGCGGCGCGACUUCCACGUUGCAAGCGGUUUGAAGUAAGGGCUGCAUGCGCCCCGGAUCCUAGCUGCAGAUCUUGCGUGGUGGACUUCUGCAAAUCAGGAUGUACCAUUAAUGGAUGCACUUGCUUACCAACCUUUCGCUACAAUUCUGCAGGAAAAUGUAUCCCUGCGUUUAAAUGCCCGAAGUAGGAAUUAAUUUCAAGUACAUUGUAUCGAAUCGACAAAAAAUAUAACUUUUCAGUGUA